UGAGUACAGGUAGGGUAGACAAGCAGGUGAGUUCAGGUAGGGUAGACAGAGCAGGUGAGUUCAGGUAGGGUAGACAGAGCAGGUAGGGUAGACAGAGCAGGUGAGUUCAGGUAGUGUAGACAGAGCAGGUAAGGUAGACAGAGCAGGUGGUUACUGGUAGAGUAGACAGAGCAGGUGAGUACAGGUAGGGUAAUCAGAGCAGGUGAGUACAGUUAGGGUAGACAGAGCAAGUGAGUACAGGUACGGUAGACAGAGCAGGUGACUACUGGUAGGGUAGACUGAGCAGGUGACUACUGGUAGGGUAGACAGAGCAGGUGAGUUCAUGUAGGGUAGACAGAGCAGGUAGGGUUGACAGAGCAGGUGAGUAAAGGUAGGGUAGACAGAGCAGGUGAGUUCAGGUAGGGUAGACAGAGCAGGUGAGUUCAGGUAGGGUAGACAGAGCAGGUG